AGACUUCACACAGCUUGCAUCACUGCUCCUGUCUCCGUGGGACUCACAAUAAGGAGAUUUUGGCAUCAACUGUGCUUAGGGGCAGGAGAAGGGUAUAUUUUAGGAGGUGAGGAGGAAUCCAUUCUUCAAAUCUUAAGGAUGGUGAAGAAGAGUGCUUACCAGAUUCCCUUCUGGUCUGGAGAAAGAGUUUCUCUUGUGGAUGUCAUCUCUACCAUCCCUUAGUGAAAAAGUUUUCAAGAGAAUCCUAAGGUGAAGAGAGCCUUGGAAGUCAUCUGGCCCAAUUUCCUCAUACAAUUCAAAGCUUCUUUGUAAGAAGAGUGCCCCGUAGAAGUUUGUUUGCGUUAUGAAGAUCAGGUCUUGAGAGAUCCAGUCUGGCUCUUCCCUGUACAAAACAUUCCUCAUAAACAGAAUGUGAGCAAUUGCUAAAUGUUAAAGGUAAAGUUAUUGGGGGAACUCCUUCAGAAAGUUCAAGUGAGCGCUUAUUCUAUGAGUGAUCAUUUACACCUAAUAUUUUUCUGUGCUAAGUUACUUAUUCUGAAGUGAUUGAUCCAAUUCCUAAAAGGGAAUGUUUCAUUACCUUUUAUUUCCUAUAGCAUCCAUUUUUACCCCUUUAUCAGGUUAAUUAUUUCCUGAUUCCAUUUUUCAUUCACUCAUUUAUUGGAGAAAUAUUUAUUGACUAACAGCUAUGCUAGGUC